GGUGGAGUAGCCUAGUGGCCAAGGCACCUGGCUUACAACCAGACAAUCGUAGGUUCGAGUCCUACCUCCACUA
rnacentral:tRNA from 1 species